GGAAGGAUCAUUACAGAGCUCAUGCCCCUAACAGGGUAGACCUCCCACCCUUGAAUACCAUACGUUUAUUGCUUUGGCGGGCCGCCUAGGCUACCGGCUUCGGCUGGUAAGUGCCCGCCAGAGGACCCUAAAACCCUGAAUUUGUGUCGUCCGAGUACUAUAUAAUAGUUAAAACUUUCAACAACGGAUCUCUUGGUUCUGGCAUCGAUGAAGAACGCAGCGAAAUGCGAUAAGUAAUGUGAAUUGCAGAAUUCAGUGAAUCAUCGAAUCUUUGAACGCACAUUGCGCCCCUUGGUAUUCCGGGGGGCAUGCCUGUUCGAGCGUCAUUACAACCCUCAAGCCUAGCUUGGUGUUGGGGCCUGCCUCCCUGCAGGCAGCCCUUAAAAGCAGUGGCGGCACCACCUGGUUCUACGCGUAGUAAUUCUUCUCGCGACGGAGCGCUGGCGGAUGCCUGCCACCACCCCCUAAUUUUUCUAUGGUUGACCUCGGAUCAGGUAGGGAUACCCGCUGAACUUAAGCAUAUCAAUAAGCGGAGGAAAAGAAACCAACAGGGAUUGCCUCAGUAACGGCGAGUGAAGCGGCAACAGCUCAAAUUUGAAAUCUGGCUCUCUCAGGGUCCGAGUUGUAAUUUGCAGAAGAUGCUUUGGGUGUGGCUCUGGUCUAAGUUCCUUGGAACAGGACGUCGUAGAGGGUGAGAAUCCCGUAUGUGACCGG
rnacentral:rRNA from 1 species